GCCCGCCUCGGCCUCCCAAAGUGCUGGGAUUACAGGAAUGAGCCACUGCACCCGGCCAAUUUUUAUUAUUUUAAAAUUGUAUGUAAAGAUGGAGACUCACUAUGUUGCCCAGGUUGAACUCCUGGGUUCAAGCAUUCUUCCUGCCUGCCUAGGCCUCCCAAGUGCUGGGAUUACAAGUGGGAGCUACUGCACCCAACCCUGCCCUUUAAAUAAUAUUGAUGUUAAUUAGAAUAAGAGCAGCAGCUAUUGUGCUUGAUCCUGUUUCUUUUUCUUUCUUUUUCUUCUUCUUCUUUUUUUUUUUUUUUUUUUGAGACAGAGUCUCCCUCUAUUGUCCAGGUUGGAGUGCAGUGGCACGAUCUCUGCUCACUGCAACCUCCGCCUCCUGGGUUCAAGUUAUUCUCCUGCCUCAACCUCUGGAUUAGCUGGGAUUACAGACGUGCCUCAUGCCCGGCUAAUUUUUGUAUUUUUAGUGGAGACGGGGUUUCACCAUGUUUGCCAGGCUGGUGUUGAACCCCUGACCUCAAGUGAUCCACCUGCCUGGGCCUCCCAAAGUGCUGAGAUUACAGGUGUAAGCCACCAUGCCUGGCCCUUUUUCUUUUUUAUAAAUUGAGACAGGGUCUCGCUUUGUCACCCAGGCUGGAGUGCAGUGGCACAAACUCUGCUUGCUACAGCCUCAACCUCCUGGGUUUGAGCAAUCCUCCUGCCUCAGCCUCUCGUGUAGCUGGGACCACAGGCACAUGCCACCAUGGCUGGUUAAUUUUUAAAUUUCCUGUAAAGACGGGGUCUUGUAGAGAACAGCCUAGGCUGGUCUGGAACUCUUGGGCUCAAUCAAUCCUCCUGCCUCAGCCUCUCAAAGCGCUUGGAUUACAGACGUAAGCCACUGUGCCUGGCCUACCCAUGGGGGUCCCAACUGCCACAUUUUCUGCCGCUUGGGUUCACCCAUCCCUCUCCUCCACCCGUCCCUCCUUUCUCAGUAUUGUAAAACACACCCCGACCUCAUAUCAUUUUACCCAGAAAUAUAUCAGUGUCCAUCUAAGCAGAUAAAGGCGUUCUUGCUUGUUUGUUUUUCUAACGCCCAGUGUGAUCGUCACUCCCAGUACACGUUAAUAAAAAUUUCUGGGCUGGGUGCAGUGGCUUGUGCCUGUAAUCUUAGCACUUUGGGAGGCCAAGACAGGGGAAUGGCUUGAGGCAAGGAAUUUGAGACCAGCCUGGACAACAGAGUGAGACCCCCAUCUCCACACACACACACACACACACACACACACACACAAAUUAGCGCGGCGUGGUGGUGGAAGGCUGUGGUCUCAGUUACUUGGGAGGCUGAGGUGGGAGGAUUGCUUGAGCCCAGGAGGUUGAGGCUGCAGUGAGCCAUGAUUGUGCCACUGCACUCCAGCCUGAGUGACAGAGUGAGACCCUAUCUCAAAAUAAAUAAAUAAGCCAGGCACUUAUUAAUUCUGUGACUCCCAUCUGUAAUCAUAGCACUUGGGGAGGCUGAGACAGGAAAAUUGCUCAAACCUGAGAGGGGGAGGUUGCAGUGAGCAGAGAUCAUGCCACUGCACUCCAGCCCGGGCAACAGAGUGAGUGAGACUUCAUCUCAAAAAAUAAUAAUAAUAAAUGAAUAAUAAUUUCUUACCAUCUAACAACAGGUCCCCUUUUCAAUUCUGUGCUUUUAAAUGAGACCAGAGGAAGAGCUGGAAAGCUUUGGAAACUUGCCAAACAUUGUAAAGCACUUAAAUGAAUGUCUUCAAGGGCUGUGCUCAAAGUGUGAUCCCCAGGCAGGGCCACCAAACCACCCUGGAGCUUGCUAGAAAUGCAAAAUCCCAGGCCCAGGGCCCCAGAUCCAGUGGAACUGAACUACCGCUGGACCAAAACCAAUGGAUCAUUAAAGUUUAAGGUUGGCUAUCUCCACUGUGUGGAAGGCAGUGGCUGGUCCUCUCUGAAUUAAUCUACUUUUUCUUGAGGCCUGGAUCUUGCUGGUUGAUAGCAGCUUCACUGAGUCUUCCCACCAGCAGUGAGAGCCUGCCAUGUGUUAAACAUCAACCAGGCCUAUGGGGACAGUUGAGGUCACUGCCGUUGACAGGCUCCUAUUCUAGUGCAAGAUACAGACAAGAAGCUAAUAAAUGAUAAAGAAAUAGAGUAAUCCCAGGUUGUGAUUAUUAACAUAUGAGUUGUGCGAGGCCUCCCCAACAAGCCUAUUGAAAUUGCACCAGCAGAGCCAGGUGCGGUGGCUCACACCCGUAAUCCCUGCACUUCAGGAGGCUGAGGUGGGCGGAUCACCUAAGGUCAGGAGUUGGAGAACAGCUGGCCAACAUGGUGAAACUCCGUCUCUACUAAAAGUACAAAUAUUAGCUGGGAAUAGUAGCACCUGCCUGUAAUCUCAGCUACUAGGGAGACUGAGGCAUGAGAAUCUUUUGAACCUGGGAGGUGGAGGUUGCAGUGAGCCGAGAUCGCACCACUGCACUCUAGCCUGGUUGACAGAGCAAGCAAGACUCAGUCUCAAAAAAAAAAAGAAAAGAAAAGAAAAAGAAAUGGUUCCAGCGCCUAAGGUGUCCUCCCCCUCUGGCUUUACUUUGCCCUGUGGCCCUGUUUCCAGAUGCUGGGCCAUGCAUCUUACUACUUAUUUGCUCAUUGCUUUUCUCCCAGGCCAGGAAGUAAUCAUCACACACAGACUGCCAUAUACCCACCCUUAGGACACAGAAGGAGUAGGAGAAAUACUUGUUGAAUGAAAGCUACUAUGACUUUUCAAACAAUGAGAGUGCCUAAAAGUGAUCAAUACCUGAUUAGCGAUUGUUUUUUAAUACAUCUGAUUCCUACCCAUGGGAAGAGUUCCUAUGUGGAAUGAGGCUACAAUUCUUUCACUGAAAAUAAAUUGCACCCUAUCCUGGGUGCUGCUCCAACCUCACCUCAGGGCUGGGAGCCUGGUGCUGCCACACCCUUGCCCUGAGCAGAAGAAUCCGGAAGAAGCCUUUGGCCAGAGCCGCAGGUGAGUCAUUUGAGGACUCUAUGCCCUUGUGGCCAUCCUUCGGUCACCUGUCUGGAAUUUUAUUUUUUUUAGCCCCCGGGCUCUGCACCAAAGAGCUGGCUUUUUUUGUUGUUGUUCCAGCUAUACCUAAAAGGGACCAGCCUCAUUCAUAUAAAGAUCUCAGAUCUCUCAAAAGGCAUCUACAAAUUAAGAGUAAUUCUGCUCAAAAUUAAAGGAAAAACAUUUUUUUGGCGGAGGAGGGAAUUGUGUAGAGUUGAAGAAAUCCAAGAGAUUGUAAAGUUCUUGUGGAGGGUGGAGUCAGUGAGAGGAGGCAGAGAAACAAGGCGAAGGCCUUUGCGCUCCAUCUGGUAUCUGUGUCCAAUAGAUGGUUUCACCCACAGCAUGGCAGAGUCCAGCAAGGAUCCAAGAAUAUGCAGGAAUCAGGGAAAUGAUGAAGACAGCACUUUAAAUGGGAGGGAUUUUUAAGUAAAUGCUAUUAGGCCAAUCAACUGGAAGUCUAUUCAUUUGCAAACAGUAACAUGAGGCUUCCUCCUCAAACCCCAAACACAUAUACACGCACAUUCCACAGUUCCACACGGGCUCAAGACCCAAACCAAAAAAACAAAUUCUAUGAGAAUGCUUGAUACAAGACUAAUAAAAAGAAGACUGGGCCAGGUGCGGUGGUGGCUCAUGCCCAUAAUACCAACACCUUGGGAGGCCUAGGCAGGAGGAUCACUUAAGGCCAGGAGUUUGAGACCAGCCUGGGCAGCACGGUGAGACCCCCGUCACUACAAAAAAUACAAAAAUUAGCUGGGUGUGCUCGCAUGCUCCUGUGGUCCCAGCUACUCACCGGGCUGAGGUGGGAGGAUCGCUUGAGCCCAGGAAAUGGAGGCUGCAGUGAGCCCCGAUUGAGUGAUUGAACCUGGGUGACAGAGCAUGACCCCGUCUCAAAAAAGAAAAAAAAAAAGAAACUACACUUUCAGGGAUAAUUUCUAUAGUUGGUUACUAGAGAAGUUUCUUUAAAUAUGUAGAGCACCAUUUAAACAGAAUAAUAAAAAGGCUGUGAGCAGUGGCUCAUGCCUGUAAUCCCAGCACUUUGGGAGGCCGAGGUGGGCAAAUCGCUUGAGGCCAGGAGUUCGAGACCAGCCUGGCCAACAUGGCAAAACCCCAUCUCUAUGAAAAAUCCAAAAAUUAAGCCGGGUGUGGUAGCUCAUGCCUGUAAUCUCAGCACUUUGGGAGGCCAAGGCAGACAGAUCACCUGAGGUUGGGAGUUCAAGACCAGCCUGGCCAAAAUGGUGAAACCUCGUCUCUACUAAAAAUACAAAAAUUAGCCAGGUGUGGUGGUGCAUGUCUGUAAUCACAGCUACUCAGGAGGCUGAGGCAGGAGAAUUGCUUGAACCUGGGACGCGGAGGUUGCAGUGAGCUGAGAUUGUGCCACUGCACUCCAGCCUGGGUGACAGAGCAAGACUCUGUCUCAAAAAAAAAAAAAAAAAAAAAGAGAAAGAAAAAUACAAAAAUUAGCCGGACUUGGUGGUCCACACCUGUAAUCUCAGCUGCUCGGAGGCUGAAGCGGGAGAAUCACUUGGACCAGACCCUGGAGACAGAGGUUGCAGCGAGCAGAGAUUGCAUCACUGCACUCUAGCCUGGGCAACAGAGUGAGACUCCAUUUUAAAAUAAUAAGAAGAAGAAGAAGAAGAAAAAGAGAAAGAACACUAAAAAGAUAGUGCAAUGGUAACAUGAGCAAAGAGCUUAAACAGGUAGUUCACUGAAGAAGGAAUACAAGUAAAUACAGUAAAUACCAGAAGAGUUGUCAUCACCAUACCAUUUCUACCAUCAGGGCGCACAGAUACUAAAAUGACAAACAAACAGAAAAUGAGACAUAGCUGGAGAUACCGUCGAAGAAGGGCCAAGAAUGUUGCUUGGCAAAUUCAUGUAAAAGAGCAGUAAGAUCUUCUUUAAAAAAGCUGUGUGCAGAAAUAUGUACUUAAAUACAGUAUAUAGAAAAAGGACUCAAUGGCUACAGACUUCUUAAUCCUGGUUAUUUCUGUGGAGAAGCUAGGGAGUUCCUACUUGUUAUAGUGUACCAAGUGGAACAUCCAUUGCAGGUGAACUUACCAGGACACAGGCUCUCUUCUUCGCUGUCGGCAGGGGUCUAAUUCAAUUGAUGGGAGCAUUUGAGAACCUAAAUGUAGCAUUAGCUAAAAACUCUUGGACACUACACCCUCCCUUCUUGCAUUUACCCUAUAGCAUGUACCUGUAUGAUUCUGUAAGUCCUAUAGAUACUAUGGGGGAUGGAUCCAUUACAUUCUGUAGCAUUGAACUUCCCAAAUGCUCACAGCCCUUAGGUCCUAAACAGCCUGUGGGGUGGCUUUUGCUUGGGCCACAGGCUAUAUUAAAAUAUAUUGCAAUCAAGCAGGGGAAUAGUUUAAUCUUAAAGCAAGUGGUUUAGCACCUGGUGUGAGAAUCUCGCUUGAGCCGCCUGCCUGGCCCUAAAGGGGACAUCUCUAAACAUCUGCCUCUGGGGUUCUGAAGUGUGCAGUGGGGAGUCACCUUCACAGAGAGGACUUGCUGUGACCUGUAAGACACCAUGCCUCUUCUCUUUCCUUCCGAGUGCUGCCUGACAGUGUCCUAAGUAUUUGUUUGUGGUGGUUUAUCCUCCCCAAUCAUGGUAAGCUUUGUGAGAUCAGGGGCUUUGUUGCUUUUGUUCCCCGGGGUCCCCAAGCCAGGCCUGGCAUCUGGGAGGUGCUCAGAGUGUAUCUGUUACAGGAACAAGAAAGUCUUAUCCACCGCCCAUGCAGCUUAAGUAAAGCAUUGUAUUUACUAAACACUCGCUGUGGUCCAAAUGCUUUGUUGAGCAAGGUAGAUAAGAGGAUGGAUGUUUGUGGACUGAAAGAACCAGCUCCUGACCCCACCCUUAGUGCUCCAAUUCUGGCUGAGCUCUGGGUGCCCCAGGGCCUUGCUAUCCCUUCCCCUCCCCCUGCUUCCUCUAAGAAUCUUCUCCAUCCUUCAAGACCCUCAGGAUUGCUGCGAAGCUCUCUCACCCCUGGACUGGACCAGACCACCCGUAGCCUCCCAUAGCACCCUCCUGUAUCACCUCUGUAAAUGCUGGGCUGGUUAUGGAACUGUCCACCAAGUGCGAAGGUUUAUCUCCCACUGCUGAUGGGAAGCCCCCUGAAGAUGGGGAUUUUUGGCCUCUUUUUUUUUUUUUUCUUUGAGACAGGGUCUCGCUGUCGCCCAGGCUGGGGUGCAGCUGCACAAUCAUGGCUCACCACAGCCUUGACCUCUCAGGCUCAAGUAAUUCUCCCACCUCGGCCUCCUGGGUAGCUGGGAGCACAGGCGCGUGCCACCAUGCCUAGCUAAUGUUUCUAUUAUUUGUAAAGACUGAGUCUUCUUAUGUUGCCCAGGCUGCUCUGGAACUCCUGGGCUCAAGCGAUCCUCCCUCCUCAGCCUCCCAAAUUGUUGGGAUUACAGGCGUGAGCCAUCACGCUAGCCAGAUUUUGGCCUCUUUGGUUGAGUGUCAGCUCCCCAGCACAGGGCCUGGGAAUCUGUGGAAUGAAUGCACGAGUAGUACCAGACUGACAACUGGGGCAGAGGUGGGGAAUCCCAGCAUGGAGGGACC
rnacentral:lncRNA from 10 species